GCCAGUACUGCUCUAACAUUAAUUUCAAAGGAAUGUCCUUGUUUCUUCGAUGUAUUGAAACAGUACUUCCACUCACAUUCCAAAUUUUGACAUUCCAAAACAACAUAAUUGGAAAAGCCAUUUUUUUUCUUCAUGUCAACAUGGGAACUCAUGUUGCCACCACAUUCAGGGCAUUUUAAAAUGUCAUCGAAAACACCAAAUAGAACAGACAAGUCCA